rnacentral:rRNA from 1 species
GACGAACGCUGGCGGCGUGCUUAACACAUGCAAGUCGAACGAUGAAGCCGGAGCUUGCUCUGGUGAAUUAGUGGCGAACGGGUGAGUAACACGUGAGUAACCUGCCCUUGACUCUGGGAUAACUGCUAGAAAUGGUAGCUAAUACCGGAUACGACCCUCGGAGGCAUCUGCAGGGGGUGGAAAGAAUUUCGGUCAAGGAUGGACUCGCGGCCUAUCAGCUAGUUGGUGAGGUCAUGGCUCACCAAGGCGACGACGGGUAGCCGGCCUGAGAGGGUGACCGGCCACACUGGGACUGAGACACGGCCCAGACUCCUACGGGAGGCAGCAGUGGGGAAUAUUGCACAAUGGGCGCAAGCCUGAUGCAGCAACGCCGCGUGAGGGAUGACGGCCUUCGGGUUGUAAACCUCUUUUAGUAGGGAAGAAGCGAAAGUGACGGUACCUGCAGAAAAAGCACCGGCUAACUACGUGCCAGCCGCCGCGGUAA